rnacentral:miRNA from 1 species
ACACUAGGACGUGUGGCUGCC